rnacentral:misc_RNA from 1 species
GAUACCUGAUGAUCUCAUACAGGUUCAAGCUUAUAUAAGAUGGGAAAAAGCAGGUAAACCCAAUUAUUCUCCAGAGCAGCAACAGAGGGAAUUUGAGGAAGCAAGAGAAGAAUUGCAGAAAGAACUGGAAAGAGGUGUAUCUCUCGAUGACUUGCGUAAGAAGAUCACUAAAGGAGAGAUCCAAAGCAAGGUUUCAAAGCAGCUGGAGAAAAAAGGAUAUUUUAGUAUUGAAAGGAUUCAGCGUAAAAAGAGGGACUUAGCACAGCUUGUCACCAAAUAUGCUGCUAAAUAUGCCGAGGAAGAUGUUUCAGUAGAACCAAAACUAAAGGCCUUGAAGGCAGUUGAACUUUUUGCUAAAGAAAAGGAAGAACAGGCUGGUGAUGCUGUUCUGAACAAAAAGAUCUUUAAGCUCCAUGACGGACAACUGCUGGUGCUUGUGACCAAGGCUGCUGGUAAGACGAAGAUUUAUGUUGCCACUGAUUUCGAAGAGCCGGUCACUCUUCACUGGGCGUUAUCUAGAAAGGGUAGAGAGUGGUUGGCACCGCCACUGACUGUGUUGCCUCCUG